UGGGACAUACUGGGAGUGGCACUGGGAUGAACUGGGACAUACUGGGAGUGGCACUGGGAUGAACUGGGACUUACUGGGAUGUACCGGGGUUGUACGGGGAAGGAUUGGGGCGGGCACAAACGCGCUGUUGCCGCUUUCGCCGCCUCUCAUUGGCUGAAGCUCCCGCCCCUCACCGCCCUCAUCCAAUCAGCAGCCAGGCUCGGUGCCCGGGGGCGGAGCCUGAUGUGAUUUCAGACUACAGUUCCCGUCAUGCCCCGCGCCCCUCAGAGCCCCCGGUACCCCAAAGCCUGAGGGCCGCGACCCCCCGGGAUCCACCCGGGAUCCACCCGGGACCCUCCCCGGGACCCCCGAACGCCUCCUCGGAUCCACAGCCACCCCCAAACCACGCAGCUUUGCUCUGAGGCCGCUUUGGGGCCCGCACGGAGCGCAGACCCAAAACUGCCCCAAAAACAGGACCAAGAACUCCGAAUUUAUUUGGGCAGCGGAACUCUGAGACCCUCGGCCACGCCAUAAUUUAAUAUUUCAGUUUUCCUCCUCUUUAAAACCUUUUGUUUCAUCCUUUUGCAGAGUUCAUUCAGGCUGGGAUUUUAUCUUA